rnacentral:rRNA from 1 species
GACGAACCGUACGAACGUUAUUCGGAAUUACUGGGCUUAAAGGGUGCGUAGGCCGAUAGAUGUGUCAGGUGUGAAAUCUCGGGGCUCAACCCCGGAACUGCAUCCGAUACUGCCAACCUAGAGGGUCGGAGGGGAGUCUGGAAUUCUCGGUGUAGCAGUGAAAUGCGUAGAUAUCGAGAGGAACACUCGUGGCGAAGGCGAGACUCUGGACGACACCUGACGCUGAGAGACGAAGGCCAGGGUAGCGAAAAGG